AUUGAACGCUGGCGGCAGGCCUAACACAUGCAAGUCGAGCGAGCGGCGGACGGGUGAGUAAUGUCUGGGAAACUGCCUGAUGGAGGGGGAUAACUACUGGAAACGGUAGCUAAUACCGCAUACCAUCAGAUGUGCCCAGGUGGGAUUAGGUAGUAGGUGGGGCAACGGCUCAACUAGGCGACGAUCCCUAGCUGGGCUGAGAGGAUGAACAGACACACUGGAACUGAGACACGGUCCAGACUCCUACGUGAGGCAUCAGGGGGGAAUAUUGAACAAUGGUCGAAAGCCUGAUGCAGCCAUGCCGCGUGUGUGAAGAAGGCCUUCGGGUUGUAAAGCACUUGCAGCGGGGAGGCGUUACCCGCAGAAGAAGCACCGGCUAACUACGUGCCAGCAGCCGCGGUAAUAC
rnacentral:rRNA from 1 species